UCNGAUGUCCCUACUAACUUGAUGGCGU
rnacentral:piRNA from 1 species